GCCUGCCUAGCUCAAUCGGAUAGAGCGUCAGACUUUUACGGUGGGGAAUCUGAAGGCUGCGAGUUCGACCCUCGCGGUGGGCU
rnacentral:tRNA from 1 species